AGAGUUUGAUCCUGGCUCAGAACGAACGCUGGCGGCAUGCCUAACACAUGCAAGUCGAACGCCAUGGUUUCGGCCAUGGAGUGGCGCACGGGUGAGUAACGCGUGGGAACCUGCCCAGCAGUAUGGGACAACCGCGGGAAACUGCGGCUAAUACCGUAUACGCCCCUGCAAGGGGGGAAAGAUUGAUCGCUGUUGGAGGGGCCCGCGUCGGAUUAGGUAGUUGGUGGGGUAAUGGCCUACCAAGCCUGCGAUCCGUAGCUGGUCUGAGAGGAUGAUCAGCCACACUGGGACUGAGACACGGCCCAGACUCCUACGGGAGGCAGCAGUGGGGAAUAUUGGACAAUGGGCGCAAGCCUGAUCCAGCAAUGCCGCGUGAGUGAUGAAGGCCUUAGGGUUGUAAAGCUCUUUCACACGCGACGAUGAUGACGGUAGCGUGAGAAGAAGCCCCGGCUAACUCCGUGCCAGCAGCCGGGGUA
rnacentral:rRNA from 1 species